CCUCACGGGUGGGAGAGCGGCCUGGGCUGAGGCGAGUGUGUGUUGUGUUGUGGUGUCGCGUGGAAGGUGUGUGCGGGCCCAGUGAGUGAAUGGACGCUCGAGUGUGUGCGCGAGGAGAGUGCAAGGCGAGUGCGUGUGCCUCCCCUGCGCCCCUCCCCCCGUCUACACCUUGAUCUUAUUUGAUCGGGUCGUGACCCCAGCCCCGCCGGGCCGCCCGAAAUGAAAAGCUCUCCUCCUGCGAAGCCCCCUCUCCCGGGCCCUGUGCAGCGAGGCCCCUUGGGCGGCGGCAGCGCCGCGGUCCCCGAGGUCCCGAAGCCGGUCCUACGGGCCCGGCGCUCAGAAGUGAUGAAUUGAUCAGAUAGACGAGGCCGGGCCUGUCCCGGCCAAUGAUUAUCGAGGCGAUUCUGAUCUGA
rnacentral:snoRNA from 1 species